UUUCCGGUUGAUCCUGCCGCCGGUCACUGCUAUCGAGUUCCGACUAAGCCAUGCGAGUCACAGGCCGUAAGGUACUGGCAGACGGCUCAGUAACACGCGGAUAAUCCAACCUUAGGUGGGGCAUAGCCUUGGGAAACUGAGAUUAAUUCCCCAUAGAUCCCGAAAACUGGAAUGUUACGGGUUUGAAAGUCACGACGCCUAAGGACGAGUCUGCGGCCUAUCAGGUUGUAGGUGGGGUAAAGGCCCACAUAGCCUAUGACGGGUACGGGCACUGAGAGGUGUAGCCCGGAGAUGGGUUCUGAGACACGAACCCAGGCCCUACGGGGCGCAGCAGGCGCGAAACCUUCGCAAUGCGCGCAAGCGCGACGAGGGGAACUCGAGUGCCAUUGCCAUUUUUGGUGAUGGCUUUUCUUGAUCCUAAAAAGAUCAGGGAAUAAAAGCUGGGUAAGACGGGUGCCAGCCGCCGCGGUAAUACCCGCAGCUCGAGUGGUGGCCACUAUUAUUGAGCCUAAAGCGUCCGUAGCCGGUCUUGUAAAUCUCUGGGUAAAUCCCGCCGCUUAACGGUGGGAAUACUGGAGAGACUGCAAGACUGGGGAUCGGGUGAAGCGAGAGGUACUCCUGGGGUAGGGGUAAAAUCCUGUAAUCCUGGGGGGACGACCGGUGGCGAAAGCGUCUCGCUAGAACGACUCCGACGGUGAGGGACGAAGGCUAGGGGAGCAAACCGGAUUAGAUACCCGGGUAGUCCUAGCUGUAAACGCUGCACACUUGGUGUUGCCCCUUCUUAGGGAAAGGGCAGUGCCGGAGCGAAGGUGUUAAGUGUGCCGCUUGGGGAGUAUGGUCGCAAGGCUGAAACUUAAAGGAAUUGGCGGGAGAGCACCGCAACGGGAGGAGCGUGCGGUUUAAUUGGAUUCAACGCCGGA
rnacentral:rRNA from 1 species